GAUAAGAUGCUUAUGACUCCCAAGAGCUCUUAUUGAUAGAGUUGUCUGGCACCUCGAUGUCGACUCAUCACAUCAUGGGUUGAAGAAGGUCCCAAGGGUCUAGUUGUUUGCCGAUGAAAGUGGCACGUGAGUUGGGUUUAGAACGUCGUAAGACGGUUU
rfam:Triticum urartu cultivar G1812 contig1085495, whole genome shotgun sequence.